AACAGAAAGGUAAAAAGUGUUUAAAGUUGAAAAGUGUUUUGGGAAAAAAAAGUGACAUGACUGCUUUCACAUAAAGCUAAAUAUUUAAUUCAGUACCAGUGUUAGAUCAUAGUGAAGAUGUGCCUGAGGGUGGAACAUACGAUACCUGCAGCAAAGGGAUGAAUUAUUGCUAAUGGUUACGGGGGGGGGGAGGAAUAGAGAAUUAAGCAUGGAGCAUGCACAUAAAUAAUGCAUAUACAAUACUAUACUAAAUAAAGUCAGAUGUUUUAAAAGACCUGCUUUUGUUUACCGCUUUAUUCCUCUAAGGGAUAAACAUUGAGUAAUAGAAUAGCUCACUGACUAUUUUCUGGCACCGAUAACAAUCAUUUUGUUAAAAGCCUGAUGUUAUUCUCUAACCUCUGGUGUUUUAUUGUAGCAUGCCCCUGAGUCCUCACAGGCAACUGUUAAAUAGUAUUUUAGUUAAAUAGUAGCUAUGUUUGAAAAAAAAAAAAAAGACAUAAGUCAUUGAGAAUAUUAUGACUAAAAGGGGCAAUGGCGGGCUUCCGUUCAUUUUGCGGUUCAACCAAAUAUUAUUUACACUUGGCUACACAUUUAUUACACGUUUAAUUUUUUUUUUUUUCACAAAUGUUUUUAUUUGUUUUCAAUAUACACAAAGAAAUUUUACAAUAAACAAAAAGGAAAGAAAAAGGAAUUGAAGAUAAGGUAAACAAACAAUGUCAAGUACAGAUUCAAAUAUAAUAAAGCAGGGUUGACAAAAAUAAUACACCUUUAAUUUUACAAUGUGGUGUUAAAGUUGUGCUAACCGGCUUCAGCUCAAUAGCAAUGCAUAUUGCCCAGCAUUGUUUAUUAUGCUUGGUGAGUAAUAAAGGAUGAAACAUUAUUGAGGUUCAGAUGGUAGACUUGGGGUUAAAACUGUCACUUGCCCUCUCAUUGAUAAAUGUAGGCAUGGAAAAAAAACUGUAUUUUUUUAAAUAUUUUUUAAAUGGCCACUAUACCUUUCGACCUGAGAAAGCCAGUGCUAGCAUAUGUUGAUGGUAUGCCAUUGUAAAUUCUAUGGAUCACCUACAUCUCCUCCUGUGGAUGGAGACAAGAGGGCUUGUGGCCAGUCCGUUCAGAAGAAAGGUGUUACUUAUACAAGUGUUAAACUGCAAGUGGAAUCAGUAAUACAGUGCUAGAGGUAAAGUAAAUAUACAACAUCCUCUUAAUCCACUUCAAUACUUAAAAAUAGUCACCCUUUCUGAGUCACCUGGCAGGCAAUUUGGGGUCAUUAAGAAUGAUUCCCCCCAUUUAUGGAUGAAUUGGCAGCUGGCCUACUGGAGGUUCUGUGUGCCUUCCACUGGGCCAUUAUGUAAAUAGAGACUGCCAUUGCUGCAAAUGACAUGAUAGAAGGAAAUUAUUUUAUGGCUUAGUUAUUUGCCAGAAAAAUUGUACUUUUAUUCCACAUACAGUUAAAAAUAUGCCCAUUUUUUCUGUUUUCUCCAACACUUUUUCCCUCUUUCAGUUCCGGAGAGAUAUUAUAAAAGCUGCCCGGUCGUGUUCAUUUCCAUUCCACCCUUUGACAACUACCUUGUCUUUGUCCUGAUGUAUUUCUUUCCUCGGCAGCUGUUAAUUCGGUACUUCUGGACCCCAAAGCAGCAGGAAGAAUUCAUGGAUAUUUAUCACAGAAUGAGAGUUGAGGCGUACCCCGAAAUCUUGGAAGGCUUGUUAAAAGCAAUUCCUAAAUUAUCUGAAAGGAAUCUCCGCAAUCCGAUGUUCCAGCUGUGCACACAGAAAGCACUUUGCCGCGUCAUGUUCCUCACUCCCCACCUCCCAGCUUUCCUGCUGCAGCGGCGCCUUGGGAGCCAUAUAUGUGAGAUACAAAAUCUUGACUGUGCUCUUCUCAAGCUUGGUGUGAAUAAACUCUCAGAGGAAGAACUAAAGCAGGCUUGUUAUAUCCGAGGGAUAAAUUCUACUCAUCUUAGUAUGGAAGACUGCAACUGCAAGACAUGGUUAAAUUACUGGCUCAAGGCUCCAGCUAUCUAGCAGGUUAAAAGUGUCUGAGGCAUCGUUAUUACUGCAUAGUAUGGUCUUCUUAUCUGCCAACUACGUCCAGUCCUUAAAACAGUGAUCGAGGACUAUAUCGGGACUGCAUUUAUCAUGCACAAUUGUGGCCUUCAGAUAUCCCAACUCAUAGUAAGUCCAUUAUGAUGCUGGAAACAGCCAGGUUGGAAUAUUAUGUUUCUCAUAUUGUUUUAUGGUUGCUUAAAGGCAACCUUACACUAAAGACCUGACCUAGAUGUUCCUGUUCACUGAAGCAGAGAGAAAAGCACCCUAGAAGCAAGAGAGACCAAACAAUCAAGAGUUUUGUUGUUGUUAAAAUUCCACAGGAGUCACCAGAUAUUACCUUCGCAUUUUCAGUGGUAUGAAUAUGGCAGCUGCAGCAGCGCAUAGUAAUAUUUAUCCCACCCAAGGGAAAUUGCUGAGGAUAUUAUGUGUGAAUGAGGCAAGAGAAUAUUUUUGCAUUAAGCUAGCAGUGCAUGCAAUCCGGCCAUAUGCACAGAGCUCUGUAAUAAGGCCAUUUGCUUGACAGAGUAAAAAUAUUCCCACUAUAAAUAGUGAAAGUGCUGCUGAAAUUCUGUAUGGAAUCUGUAGCCAAAUGGCUGUGCGUGUGUUACUGAAGGCAGCGGGUAAAGAAUAUCAUAUAGAGAAUAUGGAUUGUGCUUUGGGCUACGCAGGAACUACUUUUGUUUUCCUAUUUUUAGUUGUUUUUUUUAUAUGGAAUGUUUCUUUGGCAAUGCAUGGUUGUGUAUGCUUUAUUGGUGGAAAAGCUGUUUAUUGUUUACAAAAUGGUAUUUACUUUUGUUUGUUUUUUGUAAACUCAACUGUGUAUUUUUUUUUAAUGACCACAAUUCCCUGAAUCUUGUUCUCAUUCUGUACUGAUCAUGCUUAUAAUCUGGAACACCUUCCAACUGUAAAUAUGAUAAGGAACUUUAGUAGAGUCAUGGCAGCAAUAUUCUUUCCAAGUACUUUUCUUUUAUUUGUGAAUUGCCAAUCUUAUGCAGUACAUCAUGGCUGACUCCCUUCUGUGCUGUGUGGUCGGUGAUCAGAGCAUACACUGUAUGAUAACUCAGCAAAACCUCACAUACAUAUUGGCCUAAAAUGGGGAACACAGUAAAGGGAUAAUAAUAGGGGCAAAAUAUAUGUUUAUUAGAAAUUUUCAAUGGUCUGUUAUUUGUACUGUAUGUAUUGCUAUUGAAAGCAGUGUCUGUCCCUUUCUAGUCUCUGCCAUGGUCUAUGACCACCUUAAAGGAGAAUU